rnacentral:hammerhead_ribozyme from 1 species
AUUCAACUGACGAGUCCCAAAUGGGACGAAACGCGUGUCCUGGAU